GCAAGGUUAACAUUGAUCACCUCAAAAAAUAUCAGAAGGAGACCCUCAGGAUUCCAAGUAAAUUGAGAGGCUCUACUGCUUGUGCAUCAACCACAGCAGCCACUUGGACAACAGCUUCAAUAACCACAGCAGCCUCCAACACCAACCACAGCAGCCAUCACAACAUCAACAACACCUGCCUCAAGCUCUACCAGAACUCCUGCCACUGCCUGCAAUGCAGAUAAAUAUGUUAGAGAGGCUUGGGAAGGCAAAGAUGUUCAUGUUCUGUUAGCAAGGAUUGGACCAUAUAAGUUGUUUUAUAAGGACAUUUACAGGACAAGUCCCAAUCAGGAACUUUAAAGUGGGGUGAUAAAUGCAUACCUGUCAAAACUUGUUAGCCAACACAAUGCCAAAGGAGGCAACAAGGCACUGCAUAUUGAUUCAUUUGCAAUGGCCGACAUAUGGACAGGGUAGAAAACACGACUAAAGUUUGAUCCAAGUGCAUACUCCAUUCUUCUGGGAGCUGUUCAUGAGCCUGGCCACUGGAAAUUUACAGCCAUCUUUCCAUCAGAACGGAGGAGCCUAGUGCUGGACUCAUUAGGCAAUGCUGCCUCCAAAGUUAAACAUUGUCAAGAGUCCACCAGGUCAUUCAUGAGACAGAGAGGACUGAAAAUAUCAGGUGGUCAUCCAAAACAGUACCACACAGCCAGCAGAAAGAUGCCACCUCUUGUGGAAUCUUCGUCUUCAAAUAUGCUACAAAAGUGCUGGCAAAGGAGCCUCCAGUCUUCAAGAACUCUGCCAAGGCAGUGAAGGCCUACAGAAUGGAGGUGGCAACCAUGUUGCUGAAUGAGACUGAUGAUCUCAGUGAGCUCUGCCAUCAUUGUGGGAGAAGGAAGAGGCAAGCUCAGAAAACAGGACCACUAACUUGAUCCAGUAUGACCAAUGCCAUCAAUGGUACCACAGUACCACCUUAAACCAGGAUUUCCCAACAUUGGGGUCGAGACUCCCAAGAAGCCACUGUCCUUUUGCUAACCACUGCAUCACCAUGCAGCCCUGGUUGGGUAUUUUCUCUUGGAUACUCUGUGUAUACCAUGAAAGGAACAGUGAGCGCCUCACUCACUGCGCCACUGCAGCCCAGCUUAACACUCUCACUUUGUUGCCUUUCACUCCCCCUGGAUUCCUGGAUUC